rnacentral:sRNA from 1 species
UAUCUUUAAUGUUUAUGGAUCUUAGAAUGCAGUUGUUGGCUUUUUAAAAAAAAUUUUAUGAAAAACAUUUUAAAUUUCUUUCAUUCUUUGUAUAUACAGACUAAUAUUCCAGGAAGAAAAAAUAAAAUAAAAUGUGCUUAUUUAACUUGAAGCAAAGUGCCCGCCUUCUUGCAUAUAUUGCAAGAAUAAGCAUUCAGUCAAUAAUCGGUCAUCUUCAACACUUCUUACAAAUAAACUAGGUUUUGUAGUCUAUUGCAAGUCAGCAUUUCUCACUGGCUAUGAUGGAGAUGGACUUGGGAUCCUAGGAAGAAGGCCCGGAAACAACAUUUCUUCUCCUUUUAUGAUUUCAGUGAAGAAUGCAAAUUGCACAUCAGAUUUUGAGGAAUACUUUGCCAAAAGAAAACUGGAGGAACGCGAUGGUCAUGCAGUCAGCAUCGAGGAGUACCUUCAGCGCAGUGACACAGCCAUUAUUUACCCAGAAGCCCCUGAGGAGCUGUCUCGCCUUGGCACGCCAGAGGCCAAUGGGCAAGAAGAAAAUGACCUGCCACCUGGAACUCCAGAUGCUUUUGCCCAACUGCUGACCUGCCCCUACUGCGACCGGGGCUACAAGCGCUUGACAUCACUGAAGGAGCACAUCAAGUACCGCCACGAGAAGAAUGAAGAGAACUUUUCCUG